AUACGGAGGGGGCUAGCGUUGUUCGGAAUUACUGGGCUUAAAGCGUACGUAGGCGGCUAUGAAAGUCGGGAGUGAAAUCCCAGGGCUCAACCCUGGAACUGCUUCCGAAACUUCAUAGCUAGAGUCCCGGAGAGGUUGGCGGAAUUCCGAGUGUAGAGGUGAAAUUCGCAGAUAUUCGGAGGAACACCAGUGGCGUAGGCGGCCAACUGGACGGGUACUGACGCUGAGGUACGAAAGCGUGGGGAGCAAACAGGAUUAGAAACCCUUGUAGUCC
rnacentral:rRNA from 1 species